UAAACUAGGAUUAGAUACCCUAUUAUUUUAAAUGUAAAAAUUUGGAAAUACUAAAUUAGUAUUAGUUAUGUUCUUGAAAAUUAAAAAAUUUGGCGGUAUUUUAGUCUUUUCAGAGGAAUCUGUCCCGUAAUUGAUAGUCCACGAUUAAAUUUACUUUAUUUAUUAAUUUACAUAUCGUCGUAGUUUGAAUAUUUUAAAAGAAUAUUAAUAUUCAAAAUUUUAAAUUAAAAAAUAAAUCAGAUCAAGGUGUAGUUUAUAAUAAAGAAGAGAUGGAUUACAAUAAAUUUAUUUUAGGAUAAUUUAUUUAAAAUAAAUUUGAAUUUGGAUUUGAGAGUAAUUUUAAAUAUUUUUUUAAUAUGAUUAUAGCUCUAAAAUAUGUACACAUCGCCCGUCGCUCUUAA
rnacentral:rRNA from 1 species